UACGUAGGGCGCAAGCGUUGUCCGGAAUUAUUGGGCGUAAAGAGCUCGUAGGUGGUUUGUCGCGUCUGCCGUGAAAGCCCGGGGCUUAACUCCGGGUCUGCGGUGGAUACGGGCAGACUAGAGGCAGGUAGGGGAGAACGGAAUUCCCGGUGUAGCGGUGAAAUGCGCAGAUAUCGGGAGGAACACCGGUGGCGAAGGCGGUUAGCUGGGCAGUUGCUGACACUGAGGCGCGACAGCGUGGGGAGCAAACAGG
rnacentral:rRNA from 1 species